ACACUUCCUCAUAACACGGAAAUGUCAAACUGGAACUUCGUUUGAAACUCCAUUUGUUCUUUUAGGAGUGUGAUGUUGAAUGUUGUAUCGGGAUCACGGUCCUGUGUCGUGCUCACACAAGUUAUCGACGCUUUAAAAUUAAGGUGUAGUGUCUUUAAAGCUUGUAAUGUUCGUGAACUUUGCUUUGUUGCUAGCUAGUUGCGGAUUAAGGCCAGAUAUGUAGUGUAGCCAGGUAGCUAUAUGCUUUCAGACGGGAGUUUGGUUAGAAAACAGUUAAAGAUCGUUCAUAAUAAGAAUAAUAACAACAUCCAUCCAUCAAUAUGAAGCUAAGUUCUUCAGUCUUCGCUACUUUGUGUCUCAUUAUUGAGUUACUCGGCAUUGCCCUUUUCUUGAGAGGCUUUUUCCCAGUUCCAAUCAAGUCGUCUUUCUCAUCAAAGAGCAAAUUAUCUGAUCUGCCAGCAGAACCAGUAGUAGGAAGUAGCCCAAACUCAACCAAAGUGCCUCCUCCGUUAUUCAACAAAGUGGUCAUUGUGCUGAUAGAUGCUUUAAGAGAUGACUUUGUCUUUGGGCCCAGUGGAAAGAGGUUCAUGCCCUACACCAGGAACCUAGUGGAGAGUGGAUCAUCUCAUAGCUUCAUUGCAAAAGCCAGAGCUCCUACUGUCACCAUGCCGAGAAUCAAGGCUCUGACCACGGGCAGCAUUCCUGGUUUCAUCGAUGUUGUCAUGAACCUAAACUCCCAGGCUCUCUUAGAGGACAACCUUCUCUGGCAGGCCAAGAGCACUGGUAAAAAGAUCAUCUUCUACGGUGAUGACACAUGGGUGCGGCUCUUCCCUAAGCACUUCUUGGAGUAUGAUGGAACCACGUCUUUCUUCGUCUCUGACUACACUGAGGUGGACAACAAUGUGACACGUCAUUUGGACAGCACUUUGAAGAGAGAUGACUGGGAUGUGUUGAUCCUGCAUUAUCUGGGACUGGACCACAUUGGACACAUCAGCGGGCCACACAGCUCACUAAUCGGGCCCAAACUCCUUGAGAUGGAUGACGUCAUCAAAAAAAUACACACCUCCAUUAUCACAACGCAGGAAUCUGAUGGUAUGCUGCCUAAUUUGCUUGUGCUGUGUGGUGAUCAUGGCAUGUCUGAGAUGGGCAGCCAUGGAGGAUCUUCAGAGCCGGAAGUCAACACUCCACUAGUCCUCAUCAGCCCUGCCUUCCCAAUGAAAGAAGGCAUGGGUGAGCCAGUUGUUGUGGAACAGGUGGAUCUGACCCCAACACUUGCAAUGGCUCUGGCACUUCCCAUCUCACAGAACAGUGUGGGAUGUCUGAUUCCGGCUGUGUUUGAGAAAGCCUCACUCAGGGAGCAGCUUCGAUACUUUCAUAUCAAUGGCCACCAGCUCAGCAACCUGCUUCGGGACAGCAACCCCAGCUUCCAUAAAGAGGACGGAUAUGAGCAGUUUCAGAUGGCAGAGAAAGCUCAUGGGAGCUGGAUGAAGCUAUAUGUAGAGGGAAACACAUCUGUGGUACUGAGCAAUAUGGCAAAAAAAGUGCUAAAGCAGUACCUGGAGGCUCUACAAGCCAUGAGCGCAGCCCUUAGCAAGCAGCUGGGAAAAUACGAUAUGUACUCCAUGAUGGUGGGCAUGAGCCUUAUACUGCAGAUUCUGGUGCUGUUGUUGUUGGCCAUGCCAGAGGCUCUGAGCAGUGCUGCAUGUGUGGACGUUCCCCUGGCAACCACUUUCCUCUCUCUACCCUUCUACCUCCUUGUCCUGCUGGGUUCUUCUGUUCAUGUGUUGGUGUGCACAUCAUCCGAGGCCUCCUGCUACUUCUGCUCUCUGCCCUGGCUCCUGGCCUUUGCCACCAUUAUUUUCUCUUCAGCCCUGUUUUCUUCUCUGGUGGCCGUAGCAGCCAGAUGUCCACUCAAAUUUGAUAACAAGCCUCUCAAGACCUCUUCCUCAGAGUGGACGCUGUCUGAACUGGAUAUCCUGCUCCUGAUUGGCACACUCGGCUACAGUCUCAGCUUGGCCUCAAGUAGCUUUGUAGAAGAGGAACACCAGACAUGGUACUUCCUGCUCAACACACUUUGCCUGGCUGUCUUCCAGGAUGUCUGCAGGAAGUAUUUUAGGGAAAAGAGAUGCCCAGGUGAAGAAAAGGAGGAAAGUCUUCUCCUGCCUUCGACCAUGGAUGAAAAAGGAGCAUCUUUCUCUCCAGUGGCUGAGCUGGGGGUCAGUGCAGACUCUGAGAAGUGGUUAGCCCUAGCCACACCAGUCCUCACUCUGACAUGCUGUCGAAUGCUCAGGUCUCUAAACCAGACUGGGGUGCAGUGGGCACAUCUGCCUGACCUGAGCCACUGGCUCAACAGUGGAGAUCAUAAGGUGGUUCUGUCUCUACUGUCUGUACUCUCUCUGCUGCUGAUUUUCCUUCUGGUCCAGCGGCACUGUUCACUGGUGUCUAAGAUCGCCUUGGCACUCGGCCUGCUGGGAGUUUACAGCUACCGUGUUGCCGUCGGCAGCAUCCUAUUCCCAUGGCAACACUCAGCCCAAGCCAUGUCCAAGGGAACAGGUGAGGCACACUUCGUCUAUGUUUUCGUCCUCGGGAUCCUCUUCACCGGUGUCAAGGACUUGCUGCGAUCUCAAGUGAUGUCAUCAGUGGUGGACGGCAGACGUUUAAAGAGCAGGGGAUUGUGGGAGAUGUACAGUGGCAUGGUGCUGCUUGUGGCACUGCUGUUCCGGGCUCACAAUCUGCCCACGCUGGCAUGCUGCCUUCUCAUCCAGACCCUCAUGGCUCAGUUCAUCUGGAAGAGACUUCACUAUGAUGCCGCCCAGACCACCAUUAUGCAUUACUGGUUUGGACAGGCCUUCUUCUAUUUCCAGGGGAAUUCCAAUAACAUAGCGACAGUGGAUAUCUCAGUGGGCUUUGUGGGACUGGAGAGCUAUGUGGAGGCUCCUGCUGUCUUCCUCACAGCGUUUAGCACCUAUGCAGGGCCGCUGCUCUGGGCCUGCCAUCUGGUGUGUUACCUCAGUUCAGAGAGAGACAGUGUGGCCUCUCUCAGCCACAGCAGCUACUGUUUUGCCCUGUUGCGCUCCAUCCCUGCUGUGUUCUACAUAGUACUGGUCACUGCACUGCGCUACCAUCUCUUCAUCUGGAGUGUCUUCUCCCCUAAGCUCCUCUAUGAGGCGAUGCACAUGCUGGUCACCACGGCCGUGUGUCUCUUCUUCACCUUCAUGGAUCAGGAUCGUACACGUAGACCAUGAAACACCUGAGCAAGAGCUCUCAGUUCCCUCCAGUCAAUAACUGAGAGUAGAACAGACGCAUAUACGGAGGACAAGAUCUAAUGGAGAGGCUUGUCACAUGAAGACAGGAGAUCACUAUGAUGGAAACAAAGAUGAGGGAUGGGUGAAGGGAGAUUUCUGACGUCAUGCCAUUGUGACAGAAUGGAGUAGCAGAGAGGUUGAUUUUCUAAUCGACUGCCCUGCCAAAUGGGCUGCGCACUCCAAGGAAUUGGGAAGCAGAACACAUACACACACUGUAAGUGACUUUAGUUCCCCAUAUGACUUGUAGUACUAAGUCAGUUUAGACAGUAAUGAGUUUAGGGGCUCAGUACAAACGCCUCUGAUUUUCUACACAGCUACAGGGUGUGAAAUGGAUGAAGCUCUUGGGGUUGUUUUGUGUGUUCUGGAAAAGCUAAUGAAAUUUUAUAUAAUUUUUUUUUUGUUUGUUUUUUGUUUUUUUUAAUUAAGACCUGAAUAUGCACUCCCACUGAUCUCACAUUCAGUAACUGACUCCUUGAUUUUGUGUAGGCUGGUCACAGGUAAUUUUCAUUUACAAAGGUGACGAUCUACAAUUUUUGAUUGAUUGAUUGAUUGAUUGAUUGAUUGAUUGAUUGAUUGAUUGAUUGAUUGUAAAUCAGGUUUGGCUAAAACUUGGGCUUUCUACAUAAAAUAUAUAUUGACACUUCAUUUUAUCAUACCACAGGUACACAAAUAUUUAGACAUUGACAAGUUAUUAUUUUAACUGUCUACCACAGUAUAUUGAUGAGGAUUGGUUCCCUUUUGGGUCUGGUUCCUCUCGAGGUUUCUUCCUCGUGCCGUCUGGGGGAGUUUUUCCUUGCCACCAUCGCCACGGGCUUGUUCAUUGGGGAUAGAUUAGGGAUAAAAUUGUCUCAUGUCUUGGGCCAUUCAGAGUCUGUAAAGCUGCUUUGAGACAAUGUCUAUUGUUAAAAGCACUAUACCGGUACAAACAGACUUGACUAUAUUGGAGUUGAAAUAAAAUAAUGAAUAUUUUCAUAAUGAAUAAGAAUUGACAAAGACUGUACAACAUCCAACAUCCUGUCCAAUGAGACAAAGUUCAACUUGUACCAGAAUGAUGGGAAGAGAGGAGUAUGGAAAAGGGAAGGAACUGCUCAUGAUCUGAAGCAUGCUACUUCAUCUUAUGGUGUGGGCAGUUCCACUGACUGCUGCUAGAACUGGUUCCCUUCUAUUUAUUGAUGUGACUGCUGACAAAAAGCAAAAGGAUUAAUUCUGUAGUGUGUAGGGCUAUAUUAUCUGCUCAUAUUCAGCCAAAUGCCCCAAGUAUACUUUGAAAGCAAAUCAUGACUUAUGUAAGGAAAAGAAGGAGAAUGUUUUGCAAUAGUUUUCAUCUGACCUGAAUCUAAUUGAGCAUGCAUGUCAGAUGCUGAAGGCAAAACACCCAAAUAACAAACAGAAACCACAGACAGUUGAAGCAAAGGCCUGGCAGAGCACUACUCAAGAAGAAAUUCAGCAUAUGAUGAUGUCUGUAGGUUCCAGACUUCAAGCAAGCAUUAACUGCAAAGAAUUUGCAACCAUUUAUUAAAAAUUACGAUUUCUUUUCUGAGUGUUAGUUUGUCCAGUUACUUUUGGUUUCUUAAAUUGUGGCAAACCACAUAUUAAAAGUGUUGUAAUUACUACACUGUUCACCAGAUUUGGAAAUAAACACUGUCAAAUUAAAGCUGAAAGUCUGCACUUUGAGGUAGUAUUCAUUAUUUAAUUUCAACCCCAAUAUAUUAGACCAAUAAUAAUAACUUUGUGUGAAUGUGAGUGUGAAUGGUUGUCUGUGUCUAUGUGUCAGCCCUGUGAUGACCUGGCGACUUGUCCAGGGUGUACCCCGCCUUUCGCCCAUAGUCAGUUGGGAUAGGAUCCAGCUUGCCUGCAACCCUGUAGAAGGAUAAAGCGGCUAGAGAUAAUGAGAUGAGAUGAAUAAUAACUUUAUCAGCGUCUAAAUAUUAAUGGACCUGCUUGUAUAUUUCACCAAAAAUGAUGUCGCGCUACAACCCAAAUAAGAAAAAGUUGGUACAGUAUGGAAAAUGCAAAUAACCACAAAAAAGCAGUGAUUUCUAAAUUUACUUCGACUUGUAUUUCAUUGCAGACAGUAUGAACCCAAGAUAUUUCAUGGUUUAUCUGGUCAACUUGAUUUCAUUUGUUAAUAUCCAUCCAUUCCUGCAUUUCAGGACCCCAACAUAUUCUAAAAAAAAGUUGGGAUGGGGCAAUAUAGGGCUAGAAAUGAGGUAAAACAAUUAAAUAAGGAUGUGAUUUGAAACAGGUGAUGUCAACAGGUGAUUGUAAUCAUGAUUUGGUACAAAAUCAGUAUCCAGAAAAGGCCUAGUCUUUGAGGAGCAAAGAUGGGCAGAAGAUCUUCAGUUUGUUCCUCAAAGAAAGAUAACAAGGGAUUUGGAUAUUUCAGCCUCUACAGCGCAUAAUAUCAUUAAAUGAUUUAAAGAAUCUGCAGAAAUUUUGGUAUGUAAAGGGCAAGGGCACAAGCCUAAGCUGAACACCUGUGAUGUCUGAUCCCUCAGAUGGCACUGCAUCCAGAAACAUCAUUCAUUUAUAACGGAUAUCACCACAUGGGCUCAGGAUUACUUUGUCAAACCUUUGUCAAGCACGACAGUACAGAGUUACAUCCACAAAUGCCAGUUAAAAUGCUACUGUGCAAAAAGGAAGCCUUCUGUUAACUGUUUCCAGAAUCGCCAUCAACUACUCUGGGCUCAGAGGCAUCUGGGAUGGACCAUCACACAGUGGAAACAUGUAUUGUGGUCAGGUUAAUCAGUAUUCCAGUUUUGUUUUUUUGUAAGAAAUGGAUGCCCUGUGCUCUGGACCAAAGAUAAAAAGACCAUUCAGUGUGUUCCCAGCAACAAGUCCAAAAGCUAGGGUCUGUCAUGGUAUGGGGUUGUGUCAGUGCCAAUGGCAAAGGUAACUUACAUUUCUGUGAUGGCAGCAUUAAUGCAGAAAAUGUUCAGAUUUUGGAGCAACAUAUGCUGCCUUCAAGAUGACUUUUUUUUUCCCCAGGGAUAUUUCAGCAAGACAAUGCAAAACCACACUCUGUACACAUUAGAAAGGCAUAGCUGUGGAAGGAGAGGAUGCCUGUUCCCUCUGUCCCCAAUAGAGAAUGUGUGGUGAAUUUUGAAAUGAAAAAUAUGGCAAUGACGACCCCGUACUGUUGUACACCUUAAGAUCUAUUUGCAGAGAGAAUGGGACAAAAUAACUCAUGAAACACCAUCACUUGGAGUCUUCAGUCCUUAAACAUCUGUUGUUUUGUCAGAAGAAAUGGCAACAAUACAAAGUGGUAAAAGUUUUACUGUCCCAACGUUUUUUGGAAAUGUGUUGCAAGAAUCAAAAUUCUAAUAAGUGUUUAUUUUGGAAAAAAAACAACAACAAAAUACAUGAGGUAAACAUCAAAUAAUGCACUAUUGUAUUGUUUUGAGUGUAAUACGGGUCAAAAUUUAUUUACAAAUUAUUGUUUUAAAUUUUUAUUUCAAUUUCAUCAUACAGUCCCAACUGUCUGAUUUGGGGUUAUAGAUUUUUAUUUACUUUGUAACUUUGCCCUGCCUAAAGAUGACUAAAGCCUUAUGCUAGCUGAGUAUGAUUUCCUCACACAGUUUAUGUCAUGGUUUUGGCCAAGUUAUGUGCUGUAGCACAAGUGACACGUAUAAUCAGUUCAGUUUGUAUUCGGAAAGAGUUUUGCUGUCAAAAUGUCAGAAGAGCACUGCAGUUGGAGUAGAAUCUUUAAAUGUAAUCAACUUUUUUUUUUAACUUUUUGAGGUAACCAUGUAAAUCGAGUGAAAGGAUGUUUCUGAUGACUUAGGGUGAUGUUAAUGGGGUGAAGUUAAUUUUGUAACAAUUGUAUAAAAUAAGCUUGUUUAUAAGUAGGUAUAAUCCAAACAUUUCUGCAGACUGCAGUUAAAUAUCAGUUCAACCAAUGCAUGGUUUAUUAUUUAUGCUGGUAGCAUGGAGCCCUCACCUCCACCUAGGAUAUGCUAUGCUGGGAUAUUUGUGGAGAAAUUCCUUUUUUUCUUUCUGCCUGCUAUGAUUUUCUUCUUAUUAUUAUUUUUUGUAAUGUUGCCACCUCUGAAUUUAUGCUUUGCUAAUAAAGGGGAUCCAAUUUU